UUGCUUGUUUUGUCGUGUGCCGAUUAUGUGUACGAAUUGUGAAAUACAUCGGACGGAAAUGGCAAGAGUACAAGGAAAGAAAGGCUGCUGCUAAUAUGCCACCUAAACCUGACAAAUCAAUAUGGCAGCCGAAACGAAAGCUUAAGAAAAAGAAGAGAAUUGACGACUGAUAGUUGCCAAUCAUGUUUACUUCGUUUUGCUGCCUGAAAAUCGAAUAAAUGUUGACUGAGUGAAAAUCAGCCUACGGAUUUUUAUUUUAUUCCGGCAGUCAAAUUCAGCUUUAAGAUAUUAAAAACAUACUAAAGUUUUCAUCCAUUAAAGUUGAUCAAUGCGAUUUA